GAUACCUGGGUUUCCUGGUGUGAGCAGGGAUUUAACUCUGCUUACACCACAAUCUAGAUAUAGGCAUUUAAAUGCCUAUUUAAGCAGAUACAUGCUGCGCUGACUUCCAGCACUGCAUGUAGCUCAUCAAAAAGGCUGGAGUCACUAAAAAUGUCCUCGGCUGAUAGAGGGGAGCCCCAGGUUUCCAUUGAUACCUGGACCUCCCUUGUGUGAACAGGGAUUUAACCCUGAUCACACCGAAUUGUAAUAGUGGGGAUUUAAAUCCCCAUUUAAAUGCUUGUUUGCAGUGCUCACUUAGAGCUCUGCAAACAGAGCAUCGGUCAGUCUGGGGCCACUAAUUCUGGCCCCAGAUGAGUCAUAGUUACCAGCAAGGUAAUAAACCCUGCUGGAAAAAUACUGCAUGACGGAAAUUUUCCGUCAUGUGUCCUUAAGGGUAGGACCAGCAUGACGUAAAAUUUCCGUCAUGCGUCCUUAAGGGUAGGACCAGCAUGACGUAAAAUUUCCGUCAUGCGUCCUUAAGGGGUUAAAGGCCAGCCUUUGUUUCUCUUAGAGGGCAUAUCUAAUUUGUAUACAUUUAAUUUUAACACCUGGCCAUUUGUUAAAGGGAAACUCAUUAAAGUGGUCUGGGUGCAGUGUCACUGUCCCACUUAGUCCUGCAAUGUAAAAAAAUUAGAGAAACUACAAUAAUUACCUUGCAGCACUAAGACUGCCUUUAGUGGCUGGCAAGCACAAGGACAUCAGUCAGUGAAAUCCCCAUAGGAAAGCUUUCCUAUGGGGAGUGCCUAAGUCGCUCACCGUGCAUGUGUAAUAGCCCCUGCCACCUGUCAGCUGACAUUGGAUGAAGCGAGGCACUGACCCAGCGCCGACAUUGGUGCUUGAAUUGGGUUAGUAUACAAGAUAUAUAGAUAUCUUUUGCAUGUUGGGGGGGACCAGAGGGCAUUAUAGUGUUAGGAAUAUGUAUUUUUAUUUGUAACACUGUAGAAACACCUAAUCUAAAAUAAGAUUCAAAUAUCACACAGAGAUACAAUUUUUUUUAAAUCUAUUUUUAGUAACAUUAAAUUAGUAGUUUUACAUCUCAAAUGUAUUUUUGUAUCUGUUGCAUGGUGGGUUUAAAAGAAGAUGAGACUGAUACUAGGAAUAAAAAAAAAAUGCAAACAAUCAUGUUUUAAAGUAUAUUUUUAUUUUGAUAUAUCAGAAUUUUGUGGCUCUGGAGAUUUUAUUUGAUAAACACUUUUUUUUCAUGCAGACUUGAAAUUAUUUAACUGACCACUCUAACUUUGUCGGCUUUUGGAAAGCUGUAAGCUCAGCAUAAACUUUGUGUCCUUAUAAACAUAAUUGAAUGUGGGUACUACUUAAAUAGCUAAACCAUAGAUUUGAUGUAACUUUUUCUUUACAUCUAAUAUUUGUGAAUCUUUUAUAGUAUAACAAACAUGCAAGGUUACAAUGUACUGUUUUAUACUGGUGCUUAUUGGAUAAUGAUGAAAAUGUAUUCAUACUUACCUUAAAGGACCACUAUAGUGCGCAUUCAGCCCGUCGCAUAGGAAAGCAUUUACAAUGCCUUCCUAUGGACGCUUGCGUACUCUCACUGUGAAAAUCACAGUGAGAAGCACGCAAGCGCCUCUAGCGGCUGUCAAUGAGACAGCCACUAGAGGAUUAGGGGGAAGGCUUAACCCAUUAAUAAACAUAGCAGUUUCUCUAAACCUGCUAUGUUUAUGAGAAAAUGGGUUAACCCUAGCUGGACCUGGCACCCAGACCACUUCAUUAAGCUGAAGUGGUCUGGGUGCCUAGAGUGGUCCUUUAAUUUAUUUUCCUGGCUUUCAUCCAAGGGGCACAUAUAUGGUUGUGUUAGCACAUCUCAGUAUAAAAGUCAAAAGAAAAAUGAACAAACUACUAAAAAAUAUACAACCCAGUCUUUUAGGGAUAUUCACUGAAGUGAGACUUGUUGGAAAUUUAGAAUUUAAAGCCCAAAUAACUGCAUUAGUAAAAUAUAUAUAUUUUUAAAAAGACCAAGAACAGAAUUACAGUAACUAUAAAUCAUAGAUAAUACCCUACUGAUGUACUGCUAAAUAUGGAAAAUACAAUGUGUACACAAAACAGGAUCUGAAAAAUUGAUAUUCGAUAACCUUGUUAGCUAAUGAUCCUGGAUAAUUAAAAGACACUGCAUCUAAGGGGUGUAAUGGGAUUCUAUAUAGAAGAAAUACGGGGUAACUGUCUCUGGAUCUCCUUUAUUACUCCACUCUGGCAGUUGGAUGGUUAAUAAGAAUAGCGACCAGUCAGAUGUGAACCUGCCCCACCCAAAAUAAUAAUUAUGGUGGUAGAUCUGUUUUUGCCUCCUCUACACGCUCACCCAUACGAUAUAUGGAACCCAACCAAUACAUUGCAUUGCUCUGACAGCUGUGCCUCAUUUUUGUAACACUUGUUUAAAUAUGUGUAUAGAUGUACAUCUACAUACAUUGAUAGACACAACUCUGAAGCAUGAUUUGGCCAUCAUAAUGCUUCCAAACCAACCAAUCACAACACUGUAACCGAAAGCUGUUUGCUUAUCCAUACUGGAAUGAUAGUACUCAGACCAAAUGUAUUCCUGGCAUCAGCGGUGCAGGCACUUAAGUUCCACACUUGAGCAAUAAACACAGUAAAAUAGCCACAUGAUAUACAAUACCUUUUUCAACCAGAAGUUCCAAGAAAAUAUUGGCCCUUCACCUCUACCAAUGACACACAGAUAAACACGUUACAAAUACACAUGUAAAUAAAGAAAUUACAUAUUUUUAGUGAACCCAGAGUUUAUCUUUUGGGUUUAGGAGGGUGGCUUUGCUAGGGUUCAGUGGCACUGGGCAGCUGCAGGUGACAGUAGGUUAAGACUGUAUGUGGCUAAUAGGUCCAGGCUCCAUCUCCCCAUCUCUUCUCUCUGCUUCAUACAUCAGGAGAAAUUGUAAUUACACUUUUUGUAAUGUACAUGUAAUUACAUCCUUCUGGAGCUGUUUGUUUUACAGGUAUACUCAUCUUCGAGGGGUGCAACGGACAGCUGCUAUUGGCCCCUGUAAAGUAUGGGGCCCAAGGCAGUUACCCUUUUCACCCUGUGGUAAAGACGUCUCUGGUAUGAGAUUGUUACAGAUUUUGUAAUUUGAGGUAAAGGAAUGUGUGAACAGGUAGAAGCAGAAGAAACAAUGCUGGGAAAUAUGUCCACAGCAGAAAUCGUU